CCUACGGGAGGCAGCAGUGGGGAAUAGUGCACAAUGGGGGAAACCCUGAUGCAGCGACGCCGCGUGAGUGAAGAAGUAUCUCGGUACGUAAAGCUCUAUCAGCAGGGAAGAAAAUGACGGUACCUGACUAAGAAGCCCCGGCUAACUAAGUGCCCGCAGACGCGGUAAUACGUAGGGGGCAAGCGUUAUCCGGAUGUACGGGGUGUAAAGGGAGCGUAGACGGCAGCACAAGUCUGGAGUGAAAUCCCGGGGCUUAACCCCGGGACUGCUUUGGAAACUGUGCGGCUGGAGUGCAGGUGGGGUAAGCGGAAUUCCUAGUGUAGCGGUGAAAUGCGUAGAUAUUAGGAGGAACACCGGUGGCGAAGGCGGCUUACUGGACUGUAACUGACGUUGAGGCUCGAAAGCGUGGGGAGCAAACAGGAUUAGAUACCCCAGUAGUC
rnacentral:rRNA from 1 species